ensembl:lncRNA
CUUCUCCUGGGCUGCAUCCUCCAGCCACUGUUACUAGACCUGCAGCAGUUUGCAUGGAGCACCUGCAGAGAUGACCCAGUGACUCUGAGACAAGGAACCUGGCUCUGCAAUAUCUAUCACUACAGACCUUCCACUGAGGGGUUCUCUCUUUAGAAGCAAGGAAGAGUCAUCUCUACGUAAAGGGAAUAUCUCCAAAGGUGAAAGAUGCCUCAGGGAGAAGAUGGUUAUGAAAAAGAAAGCCAAGAAGUAGCCAGACUGGAGAAGGUCUAUUGAACCACUGGAUAUCAGAGUUCAGUUGGACUCUUACUUGACAGAGAGGAGGUCAAAAGAAGAGUCAAAAGGAGCAACCGGGCAUCCCAGAAGAAAAUUUCCUUGGGCUCAACAACACAAGAUUUGUGAGAUCUCAACUCAUGAAAAAAUAAUCCUGACAGACAGAAGAGCCCAUGUCUACCAUCACCCCAGAGAUGUCACAUCUUCAAGCUUGUUCUAUUUGAAGCAGUCACCAACAUCUAUCUGCCUUACCAGCACAGUGUGCAGCCAGACCUGGAGAGCCUCAGCUACAAGAUCUGUAGGAGUGCCAUUACAGAUUGAGGCCCAUACUUGGACAUCUAAGUAAAGAUCUGUCUUUAAAGGCACUCAGCAUUGCAGAUCUCCCUGAUUUUGGCAGUUGCUCACUUAAAAGGAAUGAGAAUGUGAUUAGCAUGGUACAACUCUCCAUAACUCAUCUGGGAUAACUCCUUGUUUCCUCAAGCAAGUCUUCUUUUAGCCAAGCUUGCGGGGAAGCAGAGGGAAAGGACCAACAUCUUCACAGAUGCCAGGGAAGUUCUUCGACACAGGUACAUUAGGACUACCAUAGCCACUGAUAAAAGUCUUGGAGCUGGCACAAAAUAAUCCAGUGACUCAGCAGAAAUCCACCAGGAGACCACUCCACCUACAUUCCCACCAUAAAUCAUUUUUCCUCAAGGCAAACAUAUCUCCAAAACUCUUCAUCCCUCCACUUGCCCAAGUGCUCUUUCUAAGUCAGACAAAGAAUAACAAGAAUGUGACUUGGUUUGGAGGAACGUGAAGUUGUUCAGGAAAAGUACGAGACCCCCAAAUGUUUAGGGAGAAGAAGCACAGGUACAAGAGCACAUCCAGAGAUACCGAAGUGACGGUGGGCAGCAAAUCAUAUACUUGCAAAAAACCCACCCCCUAAACUCUAUUCACACACAUGUAUUUUGUCAUGGAAAAAUGGGUGAAAAGACCUUUUUUAAAGGGCUAAAGAGGUAGAACAGAGCCCUCUGGUCCCACUCCAGCACAGCAGCUGAGCAAGAUUUUAUUUUAAGGGCAUGUGUAAUCUCAGUAAAGCAAGUAGGAUUUCUUCUGUGCUUAGAGUUAAGCACAGGCUGAAAAUUGCUUCUCUGGCUGGAACAGGGUGUUUACCUUGCAGGUCUUCAUUGCUGCAUUCACAGCUUCUGGGGGUGGGCACUGAGACCACUGUCUUGGUGGGAUGACAGAAUCUGGAGCUAAGGCACAAUUUCAGGAGAAGAUAAGAGUGAUCAACUUAUAAGGUAAAAUCAUAAAGCAGAAUAAGGUUUCUCUGGUGUAUAACAGUGUUUGGGCAGAUGUAAAAGCAG